UACAGAGGGUGCUAGCGUUGUUCGGAAUCAUUGGGCGUAAAGGGCGUGUAGGCGGUUUGUUAAGUCAUGUGUGAAAUCCCUCGGCUCAACCGGGGAACGACGCAUGAAACUGGCAAGCUAGAGUACCAAAGAGGGGCGUGGAAUUCCGGGUGGAGCGGUGAAAUGCGUAGAGAUCCGGAGGAACACCGACGGCGUAGGCAGCGCCCUGGACGACACCUGACGCUGAGGCACGAAAGCUGGGGGAGCGAACAGG
rnacentral:rRNA from 1 species